UUUCCUUCUCUGCAGAAUAAGGUUGGAAUCAAUGGUGGGCUCUGCCAGCUCUGAUCCAUUAUUCACCUGGAAACGGCUCCAAAUUGGAACAGUGCUUCCCUGAAGUCAGAUGUCAACAAUCAUGAAACAGAUUUUAGAGACGUUUAAAAAGUCACAAAAUACAGGCACUCUCAUCAGGAUCUGAGGGAACUUUGGCAGAACAUGUUGGUGUUUGUGGUAAAACAUCCACAUUAAAAAAUGCCAAGUUUCCCAGUGAGCAAUGCCACUCUGCUGCCUCGGAUUGAAGAGCUCUGACAUAAUCGUAAACGGACACGCCUGGGAUCUCGUCACUGCAAGGACUGUUACGUGGUGACCUGGGCAAGAGUCCUCGUCCCCCAGGGGCUCGCCGGCCCUGCAGCUCUCCUUACCAUGUGCCUCUCCUUCAGCCACAUUUCUC